AACGCACCUUGCACCCUUUGGUAUUCCAAAGGGUACACCCGUUUGAGUGUCAUUGUAAUCUCACUCCACCAGCUAUUUGUUGAUGGAUGUGGACAUGGACUCUGUUGUGUUACUACAACUGGUCUGAAAUGCAUGAGUACACCCUGCUGUUGCAGCGUUUUCAGUGUGAUAAGCAUCUUCACUGGACCAAGCUCCCUUGGGACACGCAGCAUUGUGGGCUCUGUGCUGGCAAACUGUCUUUGGACAACUUUGACAAUUUGACCUCAGAUCGGGUGGGACUACCCGCUGAACUUAA
rnacentral:misc_RNA from 1 species